rnacentral:rRNA from 1 species
ACAUGCAAGUCGAACGAAGUAGCAAUACUUAGUGGCAGACGGGUGAGUAACAUGUAGGUAUCUGCCCUUUGGCCUGGAAUAACACGAGGAAACUUGUGCUAAUACCGGAUAAGUCUUUACGGAGAAAGCUUUAUGCACCAUUGGAUGAGCCUGCACUUGAUUAGUUUGUUGGUGGGGUAAUGGCCUACCAAGACUGUGAUCAAUAGCUGAUUUGAGAGGAUGAUCAGCCACAUUGGGACUGAGACACGGCCCAAACUCCUACGGGAGGCAGCAGUGGGGAAUCUUGCACAAUGGAGGAAACUCUGAUGCAGCGAUGCCGCGUGAGUGAAGAAGGCCUUUGGGUUGUAAAGCUCUUUCGUCGGGGAAGAAAAUGACUGUACCCGAAUAAGAAGGUCCGGCUAACUUCGUGCCAGCAGCCGCGGUAAUACGAAGGGACCUAGCGUAGUUCGGAAUUACUGGGCUUAAAGAGUUCGUAGGUGGUUGAAAAAGUUGGUGGUGAAAUCCCAGAGCUUAACUCUGGAACUGCCAUCAAAACUUUUCAGCUAGAGUAUGAUAGAGGAAAGCAGAAUUUCUAGUGUAGAGGUGAAAUUCGUAGAUAUUAGAAAGAAUACCAAUUGCGAAGGCAGCUUUCUGGAUCAUUACUGACACUGAGGAACGAAAGCAUGGGUAGCGAAGAGGAUUAGAUACCCUCGUAGUCCAUGCCGUAAACGAUGUGUGUUAGACGUUGGAAAUUUAUUUUCAGUGUCGCAGCGAAAGCGAUAAACACACCGCCUGGGGAGUACGACC